rnacentral:rRNA from 1 species
AACGAACGCUGGCGGCAUGCCUAACACAUGCAAGUCGAACGAGACCUUCGGGUCUAGUGGCGCACGGGUGCGUAACGCGUGGGAAUCUGCCCUUUGCUUCGGAAUAACACAGAGAAAUUUGUGCUAAUACCGGAUAAUGUCGUAAGACCAAAGAUUUAUCGGCAAAGGAUGAGCCCGCGUAAGAUUAGCUAGUUGGUGGGGUAAUGGCCUACCAAGGCGACGGUCUUUAGCUGGUCUGAGAGGAUGAUCAGCCACACUGGGACUGAGACACGGCCCAGACUCCUACGGGAGGCAGCAGUGGGGAAUAUUGGACAAUGGGCGAAAGCCUGAUCCAGCAAUGCCGCGUGAGUGAUGAAGGCCCUAGGGUUGUAAAGCUCUUUUACCAGGGAUGAUAAUGACAGUACCUGGAGAAUAAGCAUCGGUUAAUUCCGUGCCAGCAGCCGCGGUAAAAC